UACGGAGGGGGCUAGCGUUGUUCGGAAUUACUGGGCGUAAAGCGCACGUAGGCGGCUUUGUAAGUUAGAGGUGAAAGCCCGGGGCUCAACUCCGGAACUGCCUUCGAUACUGGAGAGCUUGAGUCCGGGAGAGGUGAGUGGAACUGCGAGUGUAGAGGUGAAAUUCGUAGAUAUUCGCAAGAACACCAGUGGCGAAGGCGGCUCACUGGCCCGGUACUGACGCUGAGGUGCGAAAGCGUGGGGAGCAAACAGG
rnacentral:rRNA from 1 species